CGCACAUUGCGCCCUUUGGCAUUCCGAAGGGCAUGCCUGUUCGAGCGUCAUUAUCAACCCUCAAGCUUGGCUUGGUGUUGGGCUACGGUCGUGACUGAUCGGCCCUAAAGGCAAUGACGGCGUCUGCGAGCCCCCCGGUACAAUGAGCUUUUUACAAGGCACGUACUAUGGUGGGCUUGGAGGCCCGGUCUUACCAUUUAUUUUCUUAGGUUGACCUCGGAUCAGGUAGGGAUACCCGCUGAACUUAA
rnacentral:misc_RNA from 1 species